rnacentral:rRNA from 1 species
AUAUCAAUAAGCGGAGGAAAAGAAACUAACAAGGAUUCCCCUAGUAACUGCGAGUGAAGCGGGAAAAGCUCAAAUUUAAAAUCUGGUAGUCUUUGGCUGCCCGAGUUGUAAUCUAGAGAAGCGUUAUCCGCGCUGGACCGUGUAUAAGUCUCCUGGAAUGGAGCGUCAUAGAGGGUGAGAAUCCCGUCUUUAACACGGACUCCCAGGGCUUUGUGAUGCGCUCUCAAAGAGUCGAGUUGUUUGGGAAUGCAGCUCUAAAUGGGUGGUAAAUUCCAUCUAAAGCUAAAUAUUGGCGAGAGACCGAUAGCGCACAAGUA